AACUCUGAGCGGUGGAUCACUCGGCUCUCGUGCGUCGAUGAAGAGCGCAGCCAACUGCUGCGUGAAUUAGUGUGAAUUGCAGGAUAUCUUGAAGCAUCGACAUUCUUGAAACGCAUAUUGCCGGCCUUCAGGUCUGCCCCUGUGGCCACGCCUGGCCGAGGUUGU
rnacentral:rRNA from 1 species